rnacentral:rRNA from 1 species
AGCUUGUCUGAGAGGACGACCAGCCACACUGGAACUGAGACACGGUCCAGACUCCUACGGGAGGCAGCAGUGGGGAAUUUUGGACAAUGGGCGAAAGCCUGAUCCAGCAAUGCCGCGUGAGUGAAGAAGGCCUUCGGGUUGUAAAGCUCUUUUGUCAGGGAAGAAACGGUGAGAGCUAAUAUCUCUUGCUAAUGACGGUACCUGAAGAAUAAGCACCGGCUAACUACGUGCCAGCAGCCGCGGUAAUACGUAGGGUGCAAGCGUUAAUCGGAAUUACUGGGCGUAAAGCGUGCGCAGGCGGUUUUGUAAGUCUGAUGUGAAAUCCCCGGGCUCAACCUGGGAAUUGCAUUGGAGACUGCAAGGCUAGAAUCUGGCAGAGGGGGGUAGAACUCCACGUGUAGCAGUGAAAUGCGUAGAUAUGUGGAGGAACACCGAUGGCGAAGGCAGCCCCCUGGGUCAAGAUUGGCGCUCAUGCACGAAAGCGUGGGGAGCAAACAGGAUUAGAUACCCUGGUAGUCCACGCCCUAAACGAUGUCUACUAGUUGUCGGGUCUUAAUUGACUUGGUAACGCAGCUAACGCGUGAAGUAGACCGCCUGGGGAGUACGGUCGCAAGAUUAAAACUCAAAGGAAUUGACGGGGACCCGCACAAGCGGUGGAUGAUGUGGAUUAAUUCGAUGCAACGCGAAAAACCUUACCUACCCUUGACAUGGCUGGAAUCCUCGAGAGAUUGAGGAGUGCUCGAAAGAGAACCAGUACACAGGUGCUG